ACGAACGCUGGCGGCGUGCUUAACACAUGCAAGUCGAACGGAAAGGCCCUGCUUUUGUGGGGUGCUCGAGUGGCGAACGGGUGAGUAACACGUGAGUAACCUGCCCUUGACUUUGGGAUAACUUCAGGAAACUGGGGCUAAUACCGGAUAGGAGCUCCUGCUGCAUGGUGGGGGUUGGAAAGUUUCGGCGGUUGGGGAUGGACUCGCGGCUUAUCAGCUUGUUGGUGGGGUAGUGGCUUACCAAGGCUUUGACGGGUAGCCGGCCUGAGAGAGUGACCGGCCACAUUGGGACUGAGAUACGGCCCAGACUCCUACGGGAGGCAGCAGUGGGGAAUAUUGCACAAUGGGCGGAAGCCUGAUGCAGCAACGCCGCGUGCGGGAUGACGGCCUUCGGGUUGUAAACCGCUUUCGCCUGUGACGAAGCGUGAGUGACGGUAAUGGGUAAAGAAGCACCGGCUAACUACGUG
rnacentral:rRNA from 1 species